AGAAUACGCAUAUUAAUUAACCCCCCACCAACCCCAUCCCCCUAUCUCUCGUAUUUUUUCCAAAACGAAACCCUAUCCUCUCAAUGUGUUUUUUAAUCUGAAAGCAUAUGAAGUCCUUAACAAUCAACUAUUUCAAAUUUUUCUCUCAAAGGCUGAAGACUCACGUGAUGUCUAUUUGAACUGGGUGAAGACUCAGAAACUGAUAAUAACAUGGUUAUCAAUUUGAACAGGGUUUAAAGUGGGAGUAUUGAGAUGUGAGGAUGGCGGCUAUGAUUAGGUUUAAAGAUUGGGUGUAGAGCAAGGAGGAUGAGGGAAUAAAAAAAAUCUCCCUUUAGUUGUUUUGUUCGCGAGAAGAAAGAAAUGUAGGUAACAGAAGUCUUUCUCUGCUGAGAUGUCCCUUUGAAUGCAACUGUAAACACUUGUAUUUUUGGGAUUGUGAACGCGCUUCCUGAAAACGAAAAUAAAUACUGAAAGUUGAUUAAAUUA